rnacentral:rRNA from 1 species
CGUAGGGUGCAAGCGUUAAUCGGAAUUACUGGGCGUAAAGCGUGCGCAGGCGGUUCGGAAAGAAGAUGUGAAAUCCCAGAGCUUAACUUUGGAACUGCAUUUUUAACUACCGAGCUAGAGUGUGUCAGAGGGAGGUGGAAUUCCGCGUGUAGCAGUGAAAUGCGUAGAUAUGCGGAGGAACACCGAUGGCGAAGGCAGCCUCCUGGGGAUAACACUGACGCUCAUGCACGAAAGCGUGGGGAGCAAACAGGAUU